UUCAUUCUUCUUUUCACUUCUUCUUUCUUCCUCUCUGCCUCCUGUUCUUCUCUGCUCGUGUUCUGUGAGAAGAGUUUGUGAAAUAUAAGAGAAACUUAAUGGAAAACAUGGCGAGUUGGUCGUUGGUGAUGAUGUUAUGUUUGUUUGAGCACGGGAUGAAGAUGGUAGAGUUUUUACUGUCAAUUGAAGAUGUGAUUCUUGAAGUUAGGGUUUGAGUGGAAUUGAGAUGUAAAUCGUGUUUCUGAUAGAUAAAUAGGAAGAGGGUUGUUGUUAAUUGCUGUUAUUGAGUGGUUUCGAUGGUUGAAUCAAAGUUAGGGUUCUGUGAGUUGAAGAUGAUGAUUUGAUUGAAUGAAAUAACAGGAAAUUAAGGAUGGGUUUUAGGAACAGAUCAUGAAGAAGAAGUUUGUUGUGUUAUUUGGGAAUUCGAUAGGAGAAAUUGAAGAAUUAGGGUUCAUGUGUUCUUCCCCAAAGUGGUUUUAGGGUUUCAGUAGAAUUGGAUUGGGGGAAAAGCAAUUCAGUGGAUGCUGAUACUUGGGUAAGUCUUUAAAUUGAUUUAGUUCUAGUAUUUUAAUUUGGAUGGCUUUAAUUAUUGAGAUUGGGUGAUUAUGAAUGAAUAUGAGUUUUAGAUGAUUUAGGUUGAAGAUGUGGUUGUAGUUUAAUUUAUAAUUGAUUAACAAAGUAUUGUUGAUAUAAAAAAGACUCAGGGAGUUGAUGUUCUUAAAUAUUUGAUUCAGAUGAGUUUACUGUGAAAUGUGAAGUUAUGAAUCACUGGUAGUGAAUGUAAAUUGGUAUGUGUUGGGCUGGUGCAAGGAUAAUCUGAUGAGGGUCACAGUUAGAUGAAUGUGUAGACUGCUUCUGUAAUUCAGGGUUAGGCUUAUAUCUUGAAUUGCAGUUAAUGAAUUUGGUGAAGUAUGAAUGAGCUGAAGUGGUAUUGGUGUUUAUGAAUGUAUUGUCUGGAUAAAAGUGUAGGUAGGAUAAAUGAGUGUAAAUUGAACUGGUGUUUCAGGUUAUCGUGGUGAUGUUUGUCGAAUGGUAAUGGUGACAGGAACUGAAAUGAAAAUACUAGAUUAAGUUACAGAGUUGCAGAUACUAUCAAGAGGUGGUGGUAGUUUAUGUAUGUAUGCUUGCAGGGGUGUAAUGAUUGUUGCAGGACGUGAAUGUUCCUUGGUUGUGUCUGAAGUUGUAGGGAUGCAGUUAUAACUAAUGGAACUGGUGAAGUGAAUUAGAUACGUGAAUGUUCCUUGCAGCUAUGGGGUAAUUGGUUGUUUGGCAAGACUCAAGAGUGAGUUAUAGUUGUUUACUGGAACUGAGAUAUGUGGUGAUUGAGUUAAGUUUAGCUGUGUUGGUGCUGUAAUAUACAGGUGAAGGUUGAGUUGUUGUGGAUGUUAGUUUUCGUAAGUGAUUUACAAGGGAAAUGAACUGUUAGUGCUGGUAAGCUCAGGUGUAGGGGUUGCUGGAACUGGAACUGUGGUUAAUGGAUGGUUAUGAUCUCAACUGAAGUGCAGAUGGAGUCUUAAGGUUAUGGUGUAGUUGAAAUGAAAAUGAUGAGGGAGCUGAGGUUAGGUUUAGGCUAGAUGGACAAAAUGGUUGCAAAUGAAGUUACUUUUGAAUUGAGAUUUGAAGUAAUGAAACUGAAGUUGUAGUUGUAACUUAGUUAUAUUAUAUCUAGAAUUGCAGAGAAGUGGUUUUAGGGAAUCUGGUGGUGUUAUUGGUGCAGAUGAAGCGAGAUGAGUUGUAGAUGGAAUUGAGUCACUGUCGAUGGGUUGAGAUGAUGGUUGUUUGUGUGUUGAGAUGGAAGAUAUUGUGCUGUGAAUGCUGAAAUGGAUGUUGGUAUGAGUAGUGUAGGAUUAUAGUUGUGAGUUCAGUAAAAGCUUAAAGCUGCAACUGCAGUUAGUCGUUAUUAACAACGGUCGAUUCGAAGAGUGAACCAGUGGAUCGUGGAUCUCGAGAUAGGCGUGGCUUGUCAUCAAAAAAGUUUUCAGAGACAGAGCAGAGUUGCGCAGCGAAAGCCACAAG